rnacentral:rRNA from 1 species
AUUGAACGCUGGCGGCAGGCCUAACACAUGCAAGUCGAGCGAGCGGCGGACGGGUGAGUAAUGUCUGUGAAACUGCCUGAUGGAGGGGGGUAACUCCUGGAGACGGUAGCUAAUAUCGCACACCAUCUGAUGUGCCCAGAUGGGAUUAGCUAGUAGGUGGGGUAAUGGCUCACCUAGGCGACGAUCCCUAGCUGGUCUGAGAGGAUGACCAGCCACACUGGAACUGAGACACGGCCCAGACUCCUACGGGAGGCAGCAGUGGGGAAUAUUGCACAAUGGGCGCAAGCCUGAUGCAGCCAUGCCGCGUGUGUGAAGAAGGCCUUCGGGUUGUAAAGCACUUUCAGCGGGGAGGCGUUACCCGCAGAAGAAGCACCGGCUAACUCCGUGCCAGCAGCCGCGGUAAUAC